rnacentral:rRNA from 1 species
GUCCACGCCCUAAACGAUGUCAAUUAGCUGUUGGGGUUAGAAUCCUUGGUAGCGUAGCUAACGCGUGAAAUUGACCGCCUGGGGAGUACGGCCGCAAGGUUAAACUCAAAGGAAUUGACGGGGCCCGCACAAGCGGUGGAUGAUGUGGAUUAAUUCGAUGCAACGCGAAAACCUUACCUGCUCUUGACAUGUACCGAACCCCGUAGAGAUAUGGGGGUGCCCCGAAAGGGAGCGGUAACACAGGUGCUGCAUGGCUGUCGU